rnacentral:rRNA from 1 species
GUGAGGAAUAUUGGGCAAUGGUCGGAAGACUGACCCAGCCAUGCCGCGUGCAGGAAGACGGCCCUCUGGGUUGUAAACUGCUUUUAUCUGGGAAGAAAAAGGCCAUGCGUGGCAAAUUGCCGGUACCAGAUGAAUAAGCACCGGCUAACUCCGUGCCAGCAGCCGCGGUAAUACGGAGGGUGCGAGCGUUGUCCGGAUUUAUUGGGUUUAAAGGGUGCGUAGGCGGCUGAUUAAGUCAGCGGUGAAAGACUUCGGCUUAACCGGAGCAGUGCCGUUGAUACUGGUUGGCUUGAGUGUCGGAGGGGUACAUGGAAUUGAUGGUGUAGCGGUGAAAUGCAUAGAUACCAUCAGGAACACCGAUAGCGAAGGCAUUGUACUGGCCGACAACUGACGCUGAUGCACGAAAGUGUGGGGAUCGAACAGGAUUAGAAACCCUAGUAGUCC